rnacentral:misc_RNA from 2 species
GGGGCGAUCGGGUUGAACCUCCUUACCGAACGAUAUUGAAAUGUGCAGUGUCCACACAGAUUGUCUGAUGAAAAAGUAACAAGCAGAGAAACCUUUAUAGGCUUGUAGCUCAGGUGGUUAGAGCGCACCCCUGAUAAGGGUGAGGUCGGUGGUUCAAGUCCACUCAGGCCUACCAAAUUCGUUGCCUGAUGAGUUGCUGCCAAGUUCGGUUGCCCCCAUCAACUUCACAUGUAUCCCGCUUGCCUGAAACGGAAGUGGCUUAGGUUCGAAUCCACGAGGGGACAAGAUUGGGAUCUGUCUGAAAGAUUGGUCGAGGACUCUCUUGGGAAAGCGCCUGACUUGCCCGGUGGAGGAAAGGGGUUCUAACCCUCUUGGAUGGAGCUAAAAAAAACUAUAUUAAUAAGGCGAAAAAUUAUUACAAAGACCCUAUGAUGCCCCCAAUUUAGAACUUAAACAAUCCUUGAAUUGAUUGAUUAUUGAAAAAAUCUUCAAUCAUUCUGAUUAUUUGCAAAGUCUCCCUGAAUCAAAUCUCUAUGACUGAAACAUCUUCUUUUUGCGAGGCUAAUCCACCAAGUUUGUCUUUGGAUCCCCCGCUGCCU